CUGGCGGCCGAUACCCGACCUACAGCGUCACGCGUCUUUGGCCGGUCUCUCUGUAUUUCGAUUCCUUAGAAACUCGAGUGUACGUUUCUCGUACGAGUUCUGCACAUCCUAAAUCAAAUCCUUCGCGAUUCAUCGAUGCAGAAAUACCAUCCGAAAAUAACAAUCACGAUUUUUGUAAAUAUAACGAGACAGCGAUCCUGAUAUGACGUUGUACAUUUUAUGCGUCGUGAUCACGUUCAAUGGAUACCUCAGUAUCAGUUUACUUGGAGCUGUUACAAACUAUUAAGAGAAUGUAAUUAAGCUGAGAAUGUAGAUAAUGCCGCAUAUAUUAAACUUGGGAUAGUUGAAAUAUCCUACCAUCAGCGUUUAACCACGAACAAAGAAUCACGUUGUAAAAGAUUGGAAUCUGGAACAAGUCUUAUCAAAAAUAAAACCAAAGGGCUUCAAAGGGAUAGUGGUAGGUAAGGAACGGAAUGAAAGAAUGGCGCUAUAUCGACUCGCGGUAAGCAUUCGAGAUAUUGAUAUCCUCGCAGUUGUAUACGCUUGGGAAAUAGAAUGUUUGUUGGUAAAACUCGACUGCAGGCUAUUUAUUAUUUAGAUCGUAAUAUGAUAAAGUUAAUUAAAUGAUAACUGUCUUUUUAUCUCUCACAAAUUUGUAGAUCGAUCAAUGUCGGAUGAUAAAGUUACGCAGCGUUAAUAUCCAGCCGCUAAUGAAGGAAUGUGGCAUUCGUGACAGAGUAGAUAUCGGUGGAAUGUCGACAAAUUAAAUAAAUCAGAUGAUUUAUGAUACAGAUUUAUUUGCUCAUAUGGUCAUAAGUAUAUAAUAAUUGUAACCUAAUACUCUGCGUAUAAAUAUUAUCGGCCCGGGAAUUGGCCGUUUAGGCUGGUUAGAAUCAGCGUUGUUACACGGUGCCAGUUUGUAAACUCAUUAGAAACAGACGUUUACCGAGAAAGUGUUGUUAGUAUGGACAGAGUAGCGUUGGUAUAGCGACAUUCAUGAACGACGUAUA